GAAUUUUGGACAAUGGGCGAAAGCCUGAUCCAGCAAUGCCGCGUGCAGGAUGAAGGCCUUCGGGUUGUAAACUGCUUUUGUACGGAACGAAAAGCUUUGGGUUAAUACCCUGGAGUCAUGACGGUACCGUAAGAAUAAGCACCGGCUAACUACGUGCCAGCAGCCGCGGUAAUACGAAGGGUGCAAGCGUUAAUCGGAAUUACUGGGCGUAAAGCGCGCGUAGGUGGUUUGUUAAGUUGGAAGUGAAAUCCCCGGGCUCAACCCGGGAACUGCCUUUGUGACUGCAAGGCUAGAGUACGGCAGAGGGGGGUGGAAUUCCGCGUGUAGCAGUGAAAUGCGUAGAUAUGCGGAGGAACACCGAUGGCGAAGGCAACCCCCUGGGCCUGUACUGACGCUCAUGCACGAAAGCGUGGGGAGCAAACAGG
rnacentral:rRNA from 1 species